GGGCGUAAGCGCGCGCAGGCGGCUCUUUAAGUCUGGUGUUUAAUCUCUAGGCUCAACUUCGGGUCGCACUGGAAACUGGGGAGCUUGAGUGCAGAAGAGGAGAGUGGAAUUCCACGUGUAGCGGUGAAAUGCGUAGAUAUGUGGAGGAACACCACUGGCGAAGGCGACUCUCUGGGCUGUAACCGACG
rnacentral:rRNA from 1 species